rnacentral:rRNA from 1 species
AUUGAACGCUGGCGGCAGGCUUAACACAUGCAAGUCGAGCGGAGAUGAGGUGCUUGCACCUUAUCUUAGCGGCGGACGGGUGAGUAAUGCUUAGGAAUCUGCCUAUUAGUGGGGGACAACAUUCCGAAAGGAAUGCUAAUACCGCAUACGUCCUACGGGAGAAAGCAGGGGAUCUUCGGACCUUGCGCUAAUAGAUGAGCCUAAGUCGGAUUAGCUAGUUGGUGGGGUAAAGGCCUAUCAAGGCGACGAUCUGUAGCGGGUCUGAGAGGAUGAUCCGCCACACUGGGACUGAGACACGGCCCAGACUCCUACGGGAGGCAGCAGUGGGGAAUAUUGGACAAUGGGGGGAACCCCGAUCCAGCCAUGCCGCGUGUGUGAAGAAGGCCUUAUGGUUGUAAAGCACUUUAAGCGAGGGGGAGGCUACUGAGACUAAUACUCUUGGAUAGUGGACGUUACUCGCAGAAUAAGCACCGGCUAACUCUGUGCCAGCCGCCGCCGUAAAAC